UCGUGAACACUGUUUGUCGAACGGUACUUGUUCUAGCACAUAUUCCAUAUGUGUUCAACAAUUCCCGUUUAAGUGAAGAACGUAUACGUGCAACAUGUGCAAACUGUCAUUGUCAGUCACGUUAGUURGCUAGUUUACUAACGCGCAUAUGGCAUCAUUGCAUACUGUAUGACAUGAACAUAUCGUUGUUCACUGUUUAAUCGCUCUAGCGACUUAAGAGUGUUUGAACGGAGACAACGGAUGAARGACAACKAUGUUCACCACAAUUGUGGAUGUGUCAUUUGCAAUGCAACCUGAGCUCAGGCGUGAUUACCCGCUGAACUUAARCAC
rnacentral:rRNA from 1 species